rnacentral:lncRNA from 1 species
AUGGCCUCAGCUCCUGCACGCACCUCGUCCCGACCCAUCUGGCUUCCUCUGGCAAGCUGCCUGACUUCGAGUGUGAUGCCGGAGCAGACACCAGUUGACGGCCACGGCCCCCACAGCCAGGGAGCCCCAAGGCUGCCUGUCUGCAGCACCAUGUGUUUGCUAUUUGGUCUCCUGAAUCAGCUCCUGGUACCAGACCACAAGCAGAGCCACAACUGGCUGUGGGCAGGCUCCCAGUUGCCAUGUGAGUAAGAUCAGGCUGCCGUAGAAUUCAGAGAAGCAGAGAAGCCCAAGGGGACAGGAGCUGUCCAAAUGUGCAUGCCAGAUGCAGCCAGUGCACUGUGCCAGGAGCAGAGAGUGGGCGAGGAGGAGCCCCUCACCCUCCCAGCCUCGCCUCAGGCCUCCCGCACCCCCUGCAAACUUCUCCGGACCAGGCCAGGUGAAACUGAACCCUUCGAGGAUUCGUUCACACUUGGUCCCAUCAGAUGGUGCUCCGGCCAUGGAACCAGCUGCUCUCAGACUGUCGGACCUUGAGCAAGUUAUCUGG